CUGAGAGCUGAAAGCCAAGUAGUUACAGCAGUGUCAGCGGCAGAAGGGGGCCCAGACUACAACCACAAGCAGUCUCCAGAUUCCAAUUCCUAAAAUCCAGAACAAGGGUUUAAGGGGAAGAUCCACGGAGAGUGAACUCAAACAAAAUUUCACAUCAAGAACUUGGAUCCAAAUGAUGUUGUUUCCGCAAUGACUCUGAACUGCGCAUGUUACUCCUAUCGAAUGGGAGCGGACUUCGACGAGGUGUCGGUGGACUGUGAUUUGGGGUCCUUUGCCAACCAGGACUUGACCCUUGCAUGUCUUGAGUUCUUUCCACAGAGUAAGAACGUUGAUUUUGCACAGGAACUCUACGGUCACAUGCAGAGCGUUGUCUCGACUGCCUUUCCAUACUAUGCAUUGAGACUUGUGCAUCAUCUAUCUCUGUAUAAGCCAACGACACAUCACUAUGUCUUCGUUCAUGACGCACCCGAGAUACUUCAGCAUGCAUCCGCAUUUGCUCUUCAUAAGGCUGAGGUUUGACUGGGUAACGAGCCAAAUUUGGAUCACUGCGAUAACGAGCUUGGUACUCCUCCUCUCGCUUUUGUCUUUCAUAUUCAUCUCUAGUUUGUACAUCAAUAUCCUCAUCUACAAAAUCUCUGAACUCUUGAGACCUUCUUCGACUUCUACGACUGGAGUCCCUACUUCCUCUGUGCUCAAUAUGUUCAGAAUCAUCAUAAAUCCGUGGCCCACGCAGGGAUCGUUUGUCACGAUCUGCAUAUUCUGUUGGAGAUCGUUGCAUUGCACUUUCCAAACCUGCAUUCUGUGACGAAUCUACUCUCUCAUCGCUCUGAUCGUAUUUUCGAUUGUGUUCCCUGGACGUUGAUGGGCUCCUUUUCCUGAGUGGACAUAAGCCGAAAAAAACAUUAAUCAGAGCUAUUUUACCAAAAAUGUUUAAAAGGCAGACAUUUGAUUCAGUGACUUUGUCUAGAAAUUGUGAAGGCAGUCAAGCAUCAAUUAGGCUACUAUAUGGUCAUCAUAAAUGAAAAUAUUACAGCAAUUUAUUUAACUGUCGUUAAUCUUUGAUUGAACUAACAGUGCAGCAGAACACAGCACUUCAACGUCAGAUCAUUUAACCACUUCUUAGAAAACACUGCAAUGAACAGCAAAGUGUUCAAAUCCACAGAUUAUCCUUCUACUACUUUAUAUGCCUAUUUUAAGAAUAUAACCAUGUUUUAAAAUGCAGUUUUGCUAAAUGCACUAUCUGGCUUUACCUUUCUAUUUGCCAUUGCACAUCUGGGAGUGGGAGAGCAUUCUGUCCAAAAGAAUGCAUCAAAUCCUGUCUGGAAAGUAUUUUUAAUCUCCCAGGCUCAGCAAAAUUACAUUCGGAAGUUUGCAAUAAUUGCAGCUUUGCCAACGUUUGCAUACACAGUUAUUCCCCUGUACAACACAAUUUCAGCCACAUUUUAAAAAUUGGAAUCUUGAGAGCCAUCUCAAAACUAAGCAAGACCCACCAACUCAACUUUGACAGGUGAUGACCCAAAGUGAAGACUACCGGGAAGAGUACUGAUGCGUUUCACAAUUUAAUCUGUUAUCAUGUGCUGUAUAUAGCUGGAGGUCAAAUAAGAUUUUACCCUCUAAGGAGGAUUAUGGUACUUAACUGAUUACUGACUUGCAGUUAUGCCUGUAAAAUGCAGGAUUGUCUUUAGCAUUCUCCUCUGUACCACAGAAAUUAUUAUUUCACUCCAAAUCAUGCACUUAAGUUGAAGCAAAUCCUCCAUUUGUAAUAGCUUUGAAUUAACUUCUUUCACAACCUGCAAUUUCAAAACUCUACAGUGGUGUUACCAAAAUGCCAUGCAAAGCAGUGGUAAUUAAAAAGAUAGUAGACA